rnacentral:rRNA from 1 species
CGACCGGCGCACGGUGAGUAACGCGUAUGCAACUUACCUAUCAGAGGGGGAUAGCCCGGCGAAAGUCGGAUUAAUACCCAUAAACAGGGUCCCGCAUGGGAAUAUUUGUUAAAGAUUCAUCGCUGAUAGAUAGGCAUGCGUUUCAUUAGGCAGUUGGCGGGGUAACGGCCCACCAAACCGACGAUGGAUAGGGGUUCUGAGAGGAAGGUCCCCACAUUGGUACUGAGACACGGACCAA